rnacentral:lncRNA from 1 species
CUUCCACUGUCACCUAGAGUCACACAGCCCUUCCUUCACCAGUCACACCCAUGGAGUUAGUGCCUCCCUCCUCCAGCUGUAACCAUGGAUACCACACGUUUCCCAUCUUACCCGCCUUUACCCCAGGGACCUACAGCUUCACUCCCACUGUCCUCACCCUGACCAACAGCCAAGGAGACCACCCUCUCCUCUAACUGUCCUGAGAGUGACCCAACGCUCGGUUCUCCAGCUCUCACCAUGGAAACAGGCUGCUCCCUUCCGCGGGCGCCCCAGCUCCCUGCUCCUCUCCAAGCUCCGCCCCCAAGCGGCUUGGACCCAGCAGCUGUUGCCAUGGAGACUA